rnacentral:rRNA from 1 species
CCUACGGGUGGCUGCAGUGGGGAAUAUUGGGCAAUGGGCGCAAGCCUGGCCCAGCAACGCCGCGUGAAGGAAGAAGGCUUUCGGGUUGUAAACUUCUUUUCUCAGGGACGAAGAAAGUGACGGUACCUGCGGACUAAGCCACAGCUAACUACGUGCAAGCAGCCGCGGUAAUACGUAGGCGGCAACCGUUAUCCGGAUUUACUGGGUGUAAAGGGCGUGUAGGCGGGACUGCAAGUCAGAUGUGAAAACCACGGGCUCAACCUGUGGCCUGCAUUGGAAACUGUAUUUCUGGAGUUCUGGGGAGGCAGACGGAAUUCCUAGUGUAGCGGUGAAAUGCGUAGAUAUUAGGAGGAACACCAGUGGCGAAGGCGGACUGCUGGACAGCAACUGACGCUGAGGCGCGAAAGCGUGGGGAGCAAACAGGAUUAGAUACCCGGGUAGUC